rnacentral:rRNA from 1 species
GACGAACGCUGGCGGCGGGCUUAACACAUGCAAGUCGCGGGGCAAGGCCGGGGCGGCGGUCCUCGCGUGGCGGCGAGGGGCGUAAGGCGGGGGAGAGCUGCCCUACACUGCCGUUUAACACUGGGUAACCCGGCGUAAUACCGGAUAGGACCGCACGUUAUCGAGUGAGGGGGUCCGAUUUGUCGGAGUGGGAUGGGGGCGCAGCCAUGCGGAUGCGUGCGAUUGGCUUGGCGGCCGGGGGAGGGCACGCCGUGGCUGCGAUCGGUAGGGGUCCUGAGAGGAAGGUCCCCCACACUGGAACUGCGACACGGUCCAGACUCCUACGGGAGGCAGCAGUGAGGAAUAUUGGUCAAUGAGCGUAAGCCUGAACCAGCCAAGUAGCGUGCAGGAUGACGGCCCUAUGGGUUGUAAACUGCUUUUAUGCGGGGAUAAAGUGGCCCACGUGUGGGCUUUUGCAGGUACCGCAUGAAUAAGGACCGGCUAAUUCCGUG